UAAAAACGACUCUCGGCAACGGAUAUCUCGGCUCUCGCAUCGAUAAAGAACGUAGCGAAAUCCGAUACUUGGUGUGAAUUGCAGAAUCCCGCGAACCAUCGAGUCUUUGAACGCAAGUUGCGCCCAAAGCCAUUAGGUCGAGGGCACGUCUGCCUGGGCGUCUCAC
rnacentral:rRNA from 1 species